GAGCAAAACUUCAACGUUUUCAAAACUCUAAUGUCUAGCUUAUUUCAUUGUUUGCUUGUGACCGCAACGGACGCUGUCGCAUGUAAUGCGUCCCUCUGCAGUCACAGCCCACUGAGGAGGACAAAGUCGAAGAGGAGUCGGGGAGUAACGGAAUGAGAACGACUCGGAUUGAAACAGAUUGCACGCUUUUCCUCUUUAAUGCCAGCGACCAAACCCGACUACAUUCUACAAGGGCAUAAGGAUUUCAACAUUCCUGGACACACGAUCAAGGCAAAAUGGAUACCACUCUUUGGAUGUAUGUUCAGCAAAAUAAUCAAGUCCAGCAAAAUUCACAACAGCAUCAACAAUUCUGGAGUCAGGCAGGCUACUCAAAUACUUACCCAAAAUAUGCAGAGGUCAAUGACUCACAAAGUGCUCAGUUCAAUCCUGGCUAUGGUCAGCAAACCACAAUAACUUAUCAGCAGUUGACAACAAACCCAGGGUAUAAACCCCUUCAGAAUAAUUAUGUAAAUGGGAACUCAAACCAAAAGACUGCAUAUGAUGAUGCACAGACAAGAAACUUUCCCCGUCAAUGGCAAGUAAGUGCAUGUCAAAUGACCACUCAGCAAGAUCCAACCUUUCCUGGGAACUGGUCAAACCAGAGACAACCAAAGAUGACGGAACAGACGGAAACAUACCCAUACCAAAACAUGCAAAACAGUGUUGGUAAUCACAAUUUAAUGCCACUGAAAUUUAAUUACCUUCCAGAAAAUGUUAAGAAAACAGUGCCACAUAAUAGAGGAGGGCACAGGGAGUCAAAUACAGAAUUAACAUCUACAUUCCGAUGGAAACUCCCUGCCACACAUGGCAAGCAAGUGGAAGCAACAAGAAAGAAAGAAGGUGCAAGAAAGAACCAAACUCAAACCCCCUAUACAGCAUCAACACGAAUGGCUUCACCACGUUUUACUAUGCCAAGAAAACCAAUGCCUCCCCUUGAUACAACAUUCAUCUCAAGUGUACAACUUCCUGUGUCGCAAACACAUAUGCAACUUCAGAGUGGUGCCGGGGCGGCCCCUGCUUUCAGUAACUCUCCUGUAUUCAGGGCCCCACCUCCGUAUACCAGCUGUCUUUCUCGUGUCAAAAAUGUUGAACUACCUCAAGCCACUCAUCUGAUGAAUCCAAACAACCCGGGCAGAAACCCACCCCCUAGCUAUUCUUGCCAAAAGGCUGUGGCGGUUGUACAACCACUGUUGCAAAAAAACACCCAAGUACCUGCUAAAAAGAGCUGCCCUGAGAGGAUGGGUCGCCAGAAAGAUACCUCAAUAGAUGGUUGUGUUGACAACAUCCAAAUAGACGGCAACACAUUACCACAUCUAUUUCAACCUUUGCCUGAAUCUGACGGUUCAGAAAAAGACGGUUCAGGCUCUGACCAAAAACACCCACCAAAUGCCAACAUAGAGCCUACCAAUGAUGGGACAGUGACCCCUUCACUGCUACCAAAAGGAAAUGUGAAGGAGUCUGAAGCUCAUCAAUCAGUGACCCUGGAUUCAAGCCACGGUAAAGAAAUCCCAAAAAGUGGGGUUGAAGAGUCUGAAACGGAUGAUGUUGGGCUGUUGAGCGUAGUUCCUGUAAGGACAUGGACACAUAAACAAUUGACUGCUUUAGUUGAAAUUACUACCGGAAUUGAAAUGAUCAAACCUUGUCAUUCAAAUGCGGUUGUAGACCAGUUAAUAAAACACCUAUGGGAUAAUGACCCGAAAAAAGCAUUGAGUCUGAUCAAAUCAAACUAUUACAAAGAGCUAAUGACUGGGGUGAUCGACUUUUGCAAGGACACACACGACUCGACUAUACUGUCACACAUAGAUAGCAAAAACUGGGAUAGGGUUAAAGAAAAGUGCACUGUACUUGAAGACGAUGGUGUCCAUUUUGAGUCUCCUUAUGUGUCCCCAUGGUUGAAUGUUAACAGGCAGCUGGAUGACAUUGAUAACGAGUUUGGCUUCCCCUCGUCGUUGAAGAAUGGUGAAAGCAAAUGCAACACUGAGACGAAUCCAAUGGAGACAAAAUGUGUAAUUCCUGUGGAUAUUGUGAAGGAAAUGGCAAUUGAAAAUGUGCCUCUAAUUGCACCUGCUCUAGAUGUUGUAGAGGCAGCUAAGUCAAUUCUCCAAACCAAAUGUACCCUAUCCAUAGUUCCUGAUGAAGCAUUAACAGUGGACCUGAAUGAUCCAUUGGACCUCCUUGAAAUAGAAACAAUGCAUCCUGAUCAGGCCCGGAUCGUCUUUGAGCAACUGAAAAAUGGGUCUAGUUUGAUUGAGUUCAAAUCCAAUGAGUUUUCAACAACUGAGGAACGGACUAGUAUGGAGGAGUUUUGCUGCAUCAAUAGGUGGAUAGAAAAGAUUUUAGGGAAAGAACCUUCAUUCGAGUGCUCGUGCAAGUCACUGUCAGAAACCAACAAGCCCUGUGUCAUUUCGACAGGUGACUUGGAACCCAGUGAGGAGGAGAAUAUUAUUGAAGUGUCUCUGAAUCCUAUGCGUUCAAAUUCAACGAAGGGGAGCAAAACCGUUGACUUGACCAAACAAUUUGAGGUGCCACAAAAAGGGUAUGACAAUACGCCUAUUACUCCUCCCUCGACCAUGGACUUUAAUGAGGAAGACGAGAUUAUUAAUAUCCUGAGGAGCAUCAAAGGAUCCAUCUCAACAACAGCUCUUGAAGAUAAUUUCAAUAAAGAGUUGAAGCCUGUACGCACAGGAGAGACACUAAAUAUUGACCCAAAACAAGCAGAAGAUCAUGAUGAAGAUCAUACAGCUGUGUGCGCUAAGCAUCCCAUCGCAGAAUCAAGUGAAGACCAUACGUCUACACCAAAGGCUAUACUGACUAUUGCACAGAAACAAUCAAACGGCGACAAACAUGAUUUGAAGUCCAUUGGUUCACAUCUCACAGCUGGUCCAAACAGGCUCUCUCCUACAGUGGACCAAAAGGAUGCCUGUCCUCAAAGCCUUAAAAUGAGACUUGGGCUCAGUAGAAAACGUAGAAGGACAAUAGGAAAGAUAUUGCCAUUUGAAGAGCCGGUCACAUCUGUCUAUCAGCCUGCUAUUAAAGAAACCUCAAACGAUUUAAUCAAGGAAAAGGUUGUUGCUGAUGACUCCACAACUGCUGCAGAAAAGACUGUGAAACUUGCCUUAUUUGGCAGCACAGAACAUAGGAGUGGUGUUUCAGGACCCCGCGGAAAGAGUCACUCUUCGAGUCAGUGGUAUUCAGGACUUCCGCAUCCACCUCCAUCUGUCGUUACGCUGACGAUUUGUUCAGUCAGAGACCGAAUUUGUGAGGAAUGGAGAAACAGUUAUCUACCUAUAACAAUAAAAAAUGGUAAAAGCAGAACCAUUAGGUUGAUGGAUAUCCAUCAGAACUCUAACUCGGCCACCAAUGCUCCUGUAGAGGCUGAACUCAUAGACAUGGAGAGGCUUCCCGCUUCCCCUGAGCAAACCUUUCCCCUAGGAUCUGGCAAGAAACGUGGAAGGAGGAAGGCCCAUGCAGAAGUCCUCCCACUUGAAACAACACAAAUGCCAAACAAUAGUGUGACAAAGAAAUGGCUAGUUAAUAGUAGAAGUAUAUCUAAAACACUAAAAGUUCCUGACAUGCGGCGGAAGGAGAACCGAGGAUUGAGGUUAGGUCUGCUUCGCCACCACUUGGAAAUCCAAGCUGGACCCAGACGCCGAAAGGACAAGAGAGCUUCUGCAUUGGAUACCUCCAAAAGUGCUGCUAUGACCAAUGGUUUGAAGACCACCAUCCAAAGAUCAAUAGUGAAAAGACCGAAAACUGCAAUUAUCUGACUUAUUGUCUACAAGUGCCGCACAUUGGAACUUCAAAACAAGUACCAGAAAUCUGGAUGGGCUCGUAUUCCAGAUAAGAAGCACGGUCUUCUCACGUCCUCUAAUGUCGCCCUGCAGUGCAAGUCCACCUUCCAAGAGUCUCAGAAGACAAAUGCCAAAAGGAAAAGUCUGGAAUAUUGUGACUGAUUUGGGGUGAAUAAAAGUAUUAAAAAGGUUUCUUUCUCAUGGAUAUGUUAGGCAUUUGUUACCGUGUUUGCUUUGAAGGACACAUUUAUUUUUCUAGCGACAUUGUGGAUAUUUCAAAUUUGUAUUUUUCUCAUUGUUUUUUACAUCUUUUUUGCAUGCAAAAUAUGCAAUAUUGAUAUAUUGCUAAUUAAUAUUGAAUGUAUGUUGUGCACAAUUGCAAUAAAUCCUUGUUUUUGCUAUGACCAUCUUUCUAUUUAUUGUUUUCUUAUUUUAUUAACCAAACCAGCCCAGAGUAUAGCAUAUCUGCAAUCUGGAGGGACAACUUCAUACAAGGAACUAUAUGAGGAUGUAUUUUAUCAGUGGAUCGCCCAGGAAGUCUUGGAAUUCCAAACAUACACCAGUGAAGGUUAUUGUAGGGAAGUUAUGCGAGAAUUUGACUAUACUUUAUAGUAAAUAUAACCAGAAUAUACUUAACAUAUAGAUUAAAACUUUAUUAAUCCCAUGGAGGGGGAAUUCCUUUAGUUACAGCAGCCCAGCAGCAGUGGAAGACAGGAUAUAAAAUACAUAAAAAUACAUGAGUGCUAAGGAAAACAUAAAUAGAUGCUAUAGUAAGGACUAACGGAAUAGACCGUCUAAAUGACGAAGAGGCCCAGUAAUGCAAUGUUAAACGGUGCCCAGUGAUCAAGUAUAUACACAUACACAUGCAUAUAUGCACAAAUACAUAAAUGCAUGCAUGCAUACACAAAACACAAACAUACAUCAGGCACUGUUGUUCAGCCUAAUGGCUGCCGGCACAAAGUCUUACACCUGGGGGAAAUGAAUCAGUGGCUGAAGGGGCUCCCCAUCUGCCAAAGUUCAUAGAGGGGAUGGGAGGGGUUGCCCAGGAUGGACAUGAAUUUGUCCCUCCUCCUCUGCCUCCAGACUGUGCAACUGUAGCCCAACAACAGAGAUGGUCUUCCUCGUCAGCUUUUUAGUCUGUUGGUCUCUCCAGUCUUGUGACCACCUCCACAGCAUACCCCAGCAAAGAACCAGUUUCCCGAAGAUCUUCAUGACAUGUUGGGGAAGAAUGUAUUUAUGUACUUUCAUAAGUAAAAUCAAUCCGGUCGUAAAAGCUAUGCUGUAGCAAUAUCUAUGUUUGUAUGUCAUGAUAGUAACAAUACUUAUCGGUGAUUUUAAUUUUUGCAAUGCUGUAAGGUUAGCUCUAAACUCAUAGAAUAGCCAGGCCUUAGAAGGCCCAUUUGCUCUAGCAAUGUGAGAAAGGUUAUUUUUAGACAAAGAGGUUGUGAGAUGAGUGUGGGGAUUGAUGCAAGAUACAAGAUACAAUACAAGAUGUUUAUUGCUAUAUACACAAUGGAAACAUAGUUUGCACUGGGCAAUGAAAUUCUAAAUUUGCAAGUUCCCUUCACACAAAAUAUACUUAAAAUAAAGUAGAUAAAUAAACUAAACUACAAAAAAAAAUCUCUACAAAGGCCAGAAUUUAGUUAAACAAAAACAGUUAAAUAUAAUUGAAUAUAAAGUGCUGUUUAGCAUGUGCAAUGUUCGCAUACAGCAGAAGGCACUGAAAGACAUUGAAAUAUAAGAAGUUAGAAUACAUACAUUGGAUAUUGAAUAUUAUUAUUAGAUAAGCACAUAGUGCAAAUGUAGUUCACAGUUGAUAAGAAAUAUAGUUCACAGUAUUGAAUAUAGUGCAAAGACAGUGUUUGAUAGAGUAAUUCAGCAGCCUGAUGGCCUGUGGAUAAAAACAGUUUUUAAGUCUGGUUGUUCUGGCUUUCACGCUCCUGUAGCGUCUGCCAGGUGGAAGCAGUGUGUGCUGGGGGUGUGUAGUGUCCUUGGUGAUGUUGUUUUUCUCUUUGUGAUUCGGUUGUUGUAAAUGUCCUGAAGUGAUGGGGGGGGCUGCUCCACAGAUGUAUUGUGCAGUUUUAAUCACACGUUGGAGAGCCUUUCUUUCCUGUACCGUGCAGUUCCCAAACCACACUGUGAUGGAGUUGGUCAGGAGGCUCUCCACUGUACACCUGUAGAAGUUGCUCAUAUAAUAUAUAUUAUAACGGCCAAAAGCUGUGUGAGCCGAUAUUAUGAAUCUCAAACGACCGCGUUGGGUUCUCAGACGUUCUUGGUUCUUCAACGUCCUCAUCAAUGUGAAGUAGACCGCGACAAGGAGGAGAAAGGGAUCGUUGCCGGGCAGCGCUUAGGCACCUCCGCCUCCGGCGGUGGUCCCUCAGCGGGUCUCAAGCUGGAGACAUUCGCCGCCAACAAUCCCUUUCUCCUCCAUGUCGUGGUUCAUGUUCUUGAGGGAGUCAAAGCCAAAGUUCCUUCCCCCCAAUUCAUUCUCAACCUUGGCUGAGAUAACCCCCAAUACGAGUAUCGUUGUAGAAAUACCAGAGACGAGAGUCCGACAGAACGGUUAUCCAAAUAACAAGGAAGUGUACAACAGUUGCGUUACAGUCCUGGAGCUCUAUAUCUAAAUAACAUCAUAUAAUACAUAGAAAUCUAUAUCAUUUAAUACAUAUUAUCACGGCCAAAAGCUGUGUGCGCCUCCAGACGAUAUAAUGAAUCACAAACGACUUUGUCGGGUUCUGCGACGUCUCUGGUUCUUCCACUUUCACAUCAACCUGAAGUCGACUGAACCGCGCGCUGCCUGCUGCCGGCUGCCCGCUGCCGGGCGAUGGUGCCUCGCGGCAACAGGCGGCAUGUCGCAGUUCAUGUACUUCAGCCAGUCUAAGCCAAAGUUCCUUUCCCCCAAUUCCUUCUCAACCAUGGCUCAGUUGACCCCCACAACAGUCUCGUUGUGGAAAUACAAGACACGUCAAAGAACCGACAAGAAACACUUGCGUUACAGUGUGUGUAUUCACACACUGUAACACACACACACACACACACACACACACACACACACACACACACACACACACACACACACACACACACACACACACACACACACACAUGUGGCGCUCACACGGUCGAGUCUCAUUGGCGGGCCAACGUCUCUGGGCGGGCCAGGCAGAGUAAGGGGAGGAGCUGAGAUUCCUGAUGACGUCAUGAAUACAGACAUUCCAUCCACAAAGCUAGGGGAACUCAUAUUUACGUUAGAAAACAUCAUAAAGUGAGAUUUUCAUGUCAUGGGACCUUUAAGAAGUACAGACGCUGCUGAGACUUCUUGGCAAUGUGCUGGGUGUUGUGAGACCAGGAGAGGUCCUCGCUGAUGUGGGUGCAGAGGAAUUUAAAGGUUUUCACCCUCUCUACCUGAGUCUCGCCGAGGUGUAAUGGAUUGUGCUGGUCUCUCCUCCUCCUCGGGUUGAUAAUCAACUCCUUAGUCUUCUCUGUGUUUAAGGAGAGAUUAUAUGUGUGGCACCAGGACACCAGCUGAGCCAUCUCCCCCCUGUAGUCUAUCUCCACCCUACCAGUGAUCAGUCCGAUAACUGUUGUGUUGUGGUAGAAAUUAAUGAUUAUAUUUUAUGGUAAACUAUGAUUAUUAUUAGGCCUGUAUAUUUAAUGGUAGAAAGCAUUUAAAGCGUCCUGGAUUCUUAUCCAGGGCUGGUCACGAGGCCUGGGAGUCUUGGGUCAGAGCAGGGGUUAGGGCCCAACCCCCCAGGAGCAGGAAGCUACUGAGACAAUGCAUGCUGACUCCACUUCCUGGGUCCUAGACUAUCUCGGUGACACCUAAAACAAGAAACUGCUGAGUACUGUGCAUAAGGAGAGGCUGGAAUCUGUUGACGAGAAGUGACUCUGCAGACCCACCCGGCUGUUAUCGUUGUUGUUGCUCUUCACGAUAAAGUAUUUUGUUAAUACUUGCUCCGGACCCCUCGAUUUCUUUUACUCUCUCUUAAAUUAGUCGAAGUGUUUUAUAUCUCGGUUAAAAUACACUACAGUGUCAUCCGCAAACUUGAUGAUUGUGGUGUUGCGCUGGGUGGAGGCACUGUCGUAGGGGAAGAGGGUGUACAGCAGAGGACUCAGCACACAGCCCUGGGGGGUCCCUGUGCUCACCGUCCUUGUGCCCGAUGUCCGGGUACCAACUCUGACUGUCUGGGGUCUGUCUGUAAGGAAAUCCAGAACUCUGCUGCAGAGGGAAGGUGUUGGUCCGAGGAUGAGGAGAUUCUCAGCCAGUCUGGUUGGGAGGACCGUGUUGAAUGCUGAGCUGCAGUCGAUAAACAGCAUUCGAACAUACGUGUCCUUGUUCUCCAGAUGUGUGAGAGCUGUGUGGAUGGUGGUGUUUACUGCGUCAUCAGUGGGCUGGUUCCGACAGUACGCAAAUUAGGGAGUCCAGGGUGUCCGGGAUGGUCUUUUUAAUAUGGGACAUGAUAAUCUUCUCAAAACACUUCAUCACAAUUGAAGUGAGUGCGAUGGGAAGGUAGUAAUUCAAGCAGGUUAUGGUGUUUUUCUUAGGGAGGGGCACAAGGGUGGUGUUCUUGAAGCAGGUGGGCACAGAAUAUUGUGAGAGGGACAGAUUGCAAAUAUCUGUUAGCACCUCAGCCAGCUCCGCUGAACAGACCCUCAGUGCACGGCCCGGGAUGUUGUCAGGGCCUGCUGCUUUCCGGGGUUUCGUUCUCCUCAGCGCCCUGCACACCUCAGCUGAUGUCACCGUGAGUGAAGAGCUCUGUGCUGCCUCUGUUGGUAGAAUCCCUCUGUUGGUAUUGAGGUUGUCAAAGCGAGCGUAGAACUAAUCUGGCAGUGUGCUUUUUUGUAGCCUUCAGCGUCACCAGAGGCAAAUGCAGUGGAGAGGGCACGCAGCAUGGACCGUACAUCACAGUUAAUCCAGGGGUUUUGGUUUGGGUUUGCAGCACUUAGUGGGGACAAUAUUGUCUAUGCAUGUGCAGAUGUAGCCAGUUACCACAGUACAGUCCUCUCUCACAGCAGCAGUCUUAAACAAAUCCCAGUCAGGACUGUUAAAGCAGUCCUGUAGCACAAGAUCAGUCUCCUCGUUCCAUACUUUAACAGUUUUACUUACUGGAGGGGCCUGUUUGAGGAGCUGCCAGUAAAAUGGGUAGAGGAACACGGAGAUGUGGUCUGAAGUGGGUGGCAGCCUUGAUGGCAUACAAGGUCGAAUAACAACUUUGUUUAAGGGAGUGUUCCAGUUCCGGAAUUUCCUUCUUGAUAAGGAACCAGCUGCAUCUCAGGCCAGGUUCAUGGACAGGGGAGAAGAACAGCCAGGUCAGGUCCAGAAGUAGAUACUCUCGUUCACUCCAAUACAAGUGGGGAGGAGGAAUGUGUCUUCGCAAUUUUUUUUGUUGCUGGUAGAUAUGUAAGCACUUAUUUGUACAUAAGUUAUUGAUUGCAUUUUUCGUAGAGCUGUAGCGACGCGUCGAUGACGUCGACGUGUCGACGUCAAAAAUUCGUCGACGUCAAAUUUCUCCGUCGACAAUUUUCGACGGAGAAAUGGACGAAAGUCACAAUAAAGGAAAAUGUCCGCGCACGAAAUCAUCAAAGGUAUGGAAAUACUUCAAGUUAAGUCCUAAACGGAAAGGUGUUGUGAUUUGCACUCUUUGCCAAAUGGAGUUGGCAUAUCACAAGAGCACGACAGCAAUGUUGGAGCAUCUCAAACGAGAAAGUAUCUCGUGCGCAUGAGAAAGUAUCUCGUGCGCACGAGAAAGUAUCUCAUGAGCACGGGGAAAUAUCGUGCGCAUAUCACUGGCAGUAUGUGUGUGUGUGUGUGUGUGUGUAUGUGUGUGUGUGUGUGUGUGUGUGUGUCGUCAGCGAGUAGGUGGACGAGCGAGGAGAGCGAGCGAUAGCGUGCAUGUCAGUCUAGUGAAGUCAUGAACGAGUCCGGUUGUGUGUAAGAAUAAAGUACCCAGCCUGUCAAGAAUCGGUGGCCGCUUCAUUCCAUCAUAUUCCGACCUAUAAGCAGACUCACUGUCGGUCAAAGUGAAGGGUCAUGCCCCCGAGAGAGCAUCGGCCCUGGAGGGAACGUAUCACCUGUGCUCCUUGGUCUGGGAGCCGACAGCAGGAAAGAUGUAACUAACCAUCUCGUAGUUGGAGGCGGAGCGCAAGAGAGUAUACGCACACAUUUUUUUCAUGUCCCUUUACGGGUUCCGUAUUAAAUAAAGUAUAUUAUUAAGAAUUUUUUGGUAUUUAUUUGAGAUACAGAUUAUGGUUUUUAUUAAUCGAGCAACAGAAAAAUAGAUAAUCGUCCAAUUAGUCAUUAGAUUAGUCGACUAAUCGAUAAAAUAAUCGCCAGAUGAAUCGUUUAAUAAAUAAUCGUUUACCCCCAGCCUUAAUUUUUCGUAACUAGUUAGUUGGAAGAAAUAUGUUUCUUAAGCAAUAACAUUGAACUGUAUUUUUUCUAGGCCUACAUUCAUUUACUAUGUUGUUGGUGUCAUAUGGAGCAAUCAUUCAUAUUUAAAGUCCAAAGAUCAUUAAAGUUAUAUCUAUUUUUAUUUGAACUGCCUGUAUGUCCUCUUGAUUAUAAUAUUACAGUGUGUACCUUGGUUAUCAGCUAUCAUAAAAUGGUGUCCAAAUGGCUGCAUGUGUAAGAAAUAGGACUUGAACAAAAAGUGUUACAAUAAGAAAGCUUUUAUUUCAAAAAUCCUCCCACCCCCAAUUUUAACAGAACGUUUUUUUUUUUUUUUUUUACUUUGGGGGGACAGCUACAUAGAACGUGGAGAGGAGAGUAAGCAUGUUUUUUUUUACAUGUUCUGACUGUCUGAGUUGUGCCUGAACGCGUUCAUGAACUCGUUCAUAUUUUGGGCGAACGUGAACUGAACGUACUGUAUUACUGCCUGAUGAACGUUACUGUGAACUUGUUCAUUCUGGUGUCUGUGAACAGCACGCUCACUAGGUUUAACUUCAUUCAAUAGGGGGGUUAUUUGUUUAUCAACACAGUGGAUGCGCGUUAAGAACGCUGUGUUGUUUGACCGGUAGCCAUGGUUUUCUCUGUGUGGUUAAUUUGCAGUUGCAGUGUUGUCAGCUUACUGUUAUAUUAAACUGUAAUCAGAAAACGCGGUUAUAUGCUAUAGACCCUAGAGUAUCUGUGGUAUAAAGGCUGAGACGAAUUUCAAAUUAUAAAUAUGUACAAUCCAUAACGUUAGCCCUCUGGCUCAUAGCUCAGCGGACUAGAAUACCUCCUAGAAUCAAUGCUUGUUGGCCGGAAUCGGAAAGGGGGGCUGUUUACGUUUGGUUUUAGUCUUUUCACUCGGUUCUCCGUCUCAACAGCAGGGCUAGAGCCGAGCAAAAAGACUACAACCAAACAUGAACACCUCCCCUUUCCGUUUCCGGCCAACGAGCAAUGAGCCUUCGAGCAAUGAGCCCACGUAUUUAUGUUUUUUGCAUGUUGUGACUGUCUGAGUUUGUGAUGUGGGUCUAUGGUCUCGUAUUUAUGUACAUGUUUCACGUAUUUAUGUUUUUUACAUGUUGUGACUGUCUGAGUUUGUGAUGUGAGUCUAUGGUCUAGUGGUCUAUGGUCCAGUAUUUAUAUGCAUGUUUCGUGUAUUUAUAUGUUUUUUACAUGUUGUGACUGUCUGAGUUUGUGAUGUGAAUCUAUGGUCUCGUAUUUAUCUGCAUGUUUCAUAUAUUUAUAUGUUUUUUUCAUGUUGUGACUGUCUGAGUUUGUGAUGUGAGUCUUUGUUCUCCUACUCUUGGCCUGCACCUUGACGUGGUGAGUGGGCUUUAAACUAAGACAGGCCUUUUAUAUGUUUUUGAUUGUUACUGAUUGUUUUUCUCACAGUUUAUCUUAUUAAUGACACUGAGCCUUAAUUAAACCCCUUCUCUUCUGUUUGCAGAAACUGGAAACUUCAGAGUAUAUUUUAUCUUAAGUUAGAAAAUCGUUUUUGUUUCCUCAUCAGAUGCCAGUCCAUCAAGCUCCUCUACUUGUCUGCCGUGCCACCAUCAUGCCUCAUGCAUCACCUCUCAGCGCCCUGCCCAGCUGAAUCUUAUUCUGUUACUCAAGCACUUUCCAGCUCUUUCACAAAAGUGACAAACAGGCUCCACCCAAGUGUUUUUAAUCUUUUAUUAAUUAUACAUGUAAGGUGUGCUUAAUUGUCCUGAAAAGUUCCCAUCAAUAAAAUGCAUUUUAUUAUCAUUAUUAUUAAUAUUACAUUAUGGCUCCAUCAAAAGCAAUGUACACCUGCCAUUUACCGUUAUCAUUUAUACUAUCCUAGACAUCUUUAAACGUAUUGACAUAGGACUACAGUAGGCCUGAAUUCCUCUGAAUGUUGAAAUAAAAAAAAUUCCCACAAUUGUAUUUCUGCAUUCAGACCCCUGUCCAUCAUACUCCUGUUGUUGUGUUCCUGCACACCUGACUGUCUCCUCCAUCAAUUGCUGCCACAGCCCUCUCACUGUACAAUAUUUCAUGUUAAAUACGUUUCAGGAUCAAGUUUGAGAUUCAGUUUCAGUAUUAUUUGUUUUUUAAACCUGACGUGGGGCUGCAACCAUCAUAUCUGUCUUAUUUAUGGCACCCACACAUAAUAGGUCUCUGAUACCAUGUGGGGUCAUUUCAGACUCAUUUGCUUCCUAACAUCUUGACUGAAUCAGUGAGUUCCCUGGGUACACCAGCUGUUGGGUCUGUGUAUUUGGCAUUUGAUUCUCGUUUCAGAAACAGAAAUAUAUAUUGUUUUAAAAUACAAAAAGGUAUAUACAAGGUGUUUUUCUUAUAAAGUCAAAAGGGGCAAACUAAUCAAAAAUAAUAAUUGUUAAACAUAUAGAGAAUCAUCGAGGGGUUUAGUAACUUAUACUUCCAUGGUCGGUAAACAAUGCGACUGCGAUCGCUCAGACCUCUCGCUUCUGAUGCUACAAUGCCAGCAAUGCAAAAAAACAAGAAUAUUUCUGCAUCCGGUACAACAUAAACUAGGGCGUGGCUAGGCUACCAUGAUGCAGAAGCAUAUCU